GGGCCGGUAGUUCAGCCUGGAAGAAUACCCGCCUUGCGAGCGGGAGGUCCCGGGUUCAAAUCCCGGCCGGUCCACCA
rnacentral:tRNA from 1 species